rnacentral:rRNA from 1 species
GACGAACGCUGGCGGCGUGCCUAAUACAUGCAAGUCGAACGCAGUUGGGACGGGUGAGUAACACGUGGGUAACCUCCCAUCAGAGGGGAUAACACUUGGAAACAGGUGCUAAACCGAUACUGAUGGAUGGACCCGCGGUGCAUUAGCUAGUUGGUGAGGUACCGGCGCACCAAGGCCAAGAUGCAUAGCCGACCUGAGAGGUGGCUCGUCCAAACGGGAACUGAGACACGGCCGAGACUCCUACGGGAGGCAGCAGUAGGGAAUCUUCGGCAAUGGACGAAAGCCUGACGGAGCAACGCCGCGUGAGUGAAGAAGGUUUUCGGAUCGUAAAACACUGUGGUUAGAGAAGCGGUAUCUAACCAGAAAGCCACGGCUAACUACGGGCCAGCAGCCGCGGUAAUUC